CCAAUAACAAGCAAAAUCAAAGAAGAAAUAAUUAGACGGUAUAAUAUUAGGAUGCAUUGUUAAAAAAUUAGGGAGUAGAUUUGGAAACAUCUUCUUCACCCUCCUCCUCUUCCUCAGCAGCUGAAGCUUGCAUUUCCAGAUCGUCUGCUAUGGUUGGGACAUGGCCAUAGCGCUGUAAACGAAUUUUCUCUAAACGUCUUUUAUGAUAAAGUAUGUUUAGUAAAAGAGCAAGGGAACAUCCUAAAAGGUUUGCCUGGCAUAGCAUUAGCAAAAUUACCAAAAAAUCACUUCCAUCGUGCUUUGCUGCAGCGGAAAACAUUAAAUACUUACAACAAUGUCAAAAAGAUCGAAUGUGCGAUACUAUAUAGAGAAGUUAGCAGACUCUCAAAAAAAGUAUAGGUACAUACAGUUAGAAAGCUUUGAACAAAUUCAGAACCAAGGCCUCCGAAAACGCCGCAUACUAGUAUAGUAAGUUGAGUUGCUCGACGACGAGAUAAAUCAAAGACCCAGUAGAACACAAGAGUUAACAAGAAGAAGACAAAAAAGUGACAAACUUUGUCGUUUAUAGGAACCGGUAAAGCAGGAGCAAACCCUCUAAAUACAAUGUGUUUAGUAACAUAAUCAUUUAUCAAUAUAAUUGUUUUCAAAAAAAAUAAAUCCUUUAAAAGGCUGAAUUUCGAUAAAGUAAUAAUAAGGAGCAAAGCGUUACGAAUACGAAUGAUUUAAAAACGAAACUAGUUACAUGUGCGGAGUUUACUUACAGGUAAGCAGAAAUGAUAAGCAAACUAAAGUGAAAAUUGGUUAGAGAGAUGUGAAUCGUAAAGAAUGAUUUUAAUCUUGCAAGCUGCACUUCCUGAUUUACUUACACUAUGAAUAUCGCCAAGACCUUUUUGCGUAUAGCAAAAUGUAAAUAGGAUGGGAGCAUCAUUUUUUUGAAUUUAAUAAUUGCAUUCAAUCAACAACUUUAUGGAAAAAAACAGUGAAAACGACUGUCUGUAAUAGAAGUAGUGGGUAGUACGGUUAAAGAAGCUACUUCCUCUGAACCAGCCUUGUUGGGCUUAGCGGAUCGUAGUAUCGACCAACAAGCGACUAAACUUACCGAAUAGCACUUUUAAUUCAGUACCUUAAACGAAGUUUAUUGUUUGUUUAUUAUUUUUAUAGCAAUUUAUAUGAUAUGUAAUGGAAUAAAUGGGAAAGUUGAAUUUCAUACUUGACAAGGUUUUUAUAUGUACUAAACAGUAUUAAUAUCAAUAACCACAGAUACCCAGCUUCACUAUAUGCCAAAGUACUAAUAGUUUGCACGUCAAAUGGUACGUGGUCAAGAAAAUUAAAAGAAUUGCCAAAGCGUUCAUUCAACUUUUUUGCGAUGAACAUUUAAAUUCGUGGUUACUUCUUUGUCAAUUUUAUUCCAUGCAGCAAAUUAUUGUAAAUUCUUUAAUAAAUUAAAAGCGCCUUGUAUAAAAAAUCUAUAAAUGAAUCACAAAGGAUGAACUGCUACAAACAUUGACGACCUAUAAUAUUUUGGAGAUAGUUGUGUUUGUCAUUACGAAUUAUAACAAUAGAUGACUUUUGAACCUUCGAUAAGAUAAAAAAUAAAAAUAGUA
rnacentral:lncRNA from 1 species